rnacentral:rRNA from 1 species
AUGGGCUGCCUGCUGGCGCUCACCGACGACCUCCUCGCGGACAUCCUCAUCCGCUUGCCGUCGCCGGCGGACCUCGCGCGCGCCUCCGCCUCCUGCGCCUCGCUCCGCCGCGUCGUCACCUCCCCGCGGUUCCUCCGCCGGGUCCGCUCCCUCCACGCCCCGCCCCCGCUCGGCGUCUUCGUCCCCGACGCCGCCGCCGGGUUCUUCCCCGCCCUCCCGCCCAACCCCGCGGCCCGCCCCGCCCGCGCGCUCGCCCUCGCCGCCGACUUCUCCUUCGCCUUCCUCCCGGCCCCCGCGCGCGCCUGGCUCGUCCGCGACCACCGCGACGGCCGCUUCCUCCUCGACCGCGCCGCGCCGGCCGGCUCCACGGCCUUCACCGAGGUCGCCGUCUGCGACCCGCUCUCCCGGCGCUGCCUCCUGCUCCCGCCCAUCCCCGACGCCCUCGCCGCCUCCGUGGACAACCCCUACCUCCAGCGCGGCGGCGACGACGGGGGGCUCCAGUCGCGCAGCAACGAGAUCUUCCUGGCCUCCCGCGGCAACGACGACCGCGGCGAGGAGCUGCCGCUCGCCGUCAUCUGGAUGGCCUGCUGCCGAGGGAAGCUGGUCGCGUUCUACUUCUGCUCUGGAUCUCGGGAAUGGAGCGCGCUUUCGCCGCCGGUGCACCACGCGCUGAGCAUGCGGAGGGUCAUGGGCGUCCGACUGGGGCAACGCAACCAUGCCCAUGGGUGCUUCUACUGGAUGAUAACUCUCACCCGGAGGUGGCUCGUGCUGGACGCCCGCAAAAUGGAGUUCUCCAUCCUCGACAUUUCUCCUGUCCUGGCAGGCCGCUCGAUGAUGUUCAGUAAUCAGAUCACCACUCUGGAGUCAGGGGAAGGCAGGACAACCGUUGUGGUUUCGGAUCUUUUUAGGGCGGAUAAAAGAUGUGUCCUCUACUUUUAUUCGUUCAUGCAUUUCAGUGACCGGUGGCAGCUGCAGAACAAGAUCACCUUGCCCGAGGAAUGGGGAGACCGGUUUCGAGGCAUCAUAGGUGCAUUUGAGGGCUGCUUAUACAUAAAACUAGAUCAUCCAAAGCAGAAUUUGGGAGAUCCUGUUGAGCAAAAUGUCACAUACUUUUGGUUCGAUCUCAAGACUAUGCAGGUUGGUAGGUUCACUGAGAUAAGUUCUGCUACUGUGAACGAAGCCUACCUUUACAUGGGGUUUCCCCCAUCACUGUCACUUCCUAGUGUUUGA